rnacentral:rRNA from 1 species
UACGUAGGGGGCAAGCGUUGUCCGGAAUCAUUGGGCGUAAAGAGCGUGUAGGCGGCUCGAUAAGUCUGCUGUGAAAGUCCAGGGCUCAACCCUGGAAAGGCCGGUGGAAACUGUCGGGCUAGAGUCCGGAAGAGGCGAGUGGAAUUCCCGGUGUAGCGGUAGAAAUGCGCAGAUAUCGGGAGGAACACCAAUGGCGAAGGCAGCUCGCUGGGACGGUACUGACGCUGAGACGACGAAAGCGUGGGGAGCAAACAGG